rnacentral:rRNA from 1 species
CAGCCGCCGGGGUAAUACAGAGGGUGCAAGCGUUAAUCGGAAUUACUGGGCGUAAAGCGCGCGUAGGUGGUUUGUUAAGUUGGAUGUGAAAGCCCCGGGCUCAACCUGGGAACUGCAUCCAAAACUGGCAAGCUAGAGUACGGUAGAGGGUGGUGGAAUUUCCUGUGUAGCGGUGAAAUGCGUAGAUAUAGGAAGGAACACCAGUGGCGAAGGCGACCACCUGGACUGAUACUGACACUGAGGUGCGAAAGCGUGGGGAGCAAACAGGAUUAGAUACCCCCGUAGUCCCUGUCUCUUAUAC